UUGGUGUGUGUGCUGAUGGCUGCCUGGAGCCUCGGAUGUGGCAGCCAGACGGUGCACCAGCCAGCAGAGAAUGUGUACGCCAUGAAAGGCGACUCAGUGACGCUGGACUGCAGCUAUGAAAACUCUGGAGGCAACAACUACAUCUACUGGUACAAACAGGACGGGCAGGCGGCACCAAAGUUCAUCCUGAGCCUCUCCAUGAUGACUCAGGGCAAGACUCAUAGCAACUUUGAAAAGAGGUUCAGCUGCAGCAUCAAUGACACCGUCAAGCGAGCUCCUCUGAAGAUCCAAGACGUGCAGCUGAACGACUCUGCAGUCUUCUACUGCGCCAUGCAGCCCACAAUGACUGACAGCUCUGCUGCACCUGCACAAAAGCCUCUCUGGGCUCCUCAUCCUACUGUGGCUGUUUCAGAGCUAGUUCUGUGAAGGUUUUCACAGCUUUCGUCCUUGUCAGGACCAGGGGCGCCGCUAGGGAUUUUGGGCCCCAUGAAAAGAAUCUUUACAGGGCCCCAACACAGCGGCAACAUUAUAAUUUCAUCAUCAUUAGGGGCCUCUCUGGGCCCCCCUCCAUCAUGGGCCCCUAGAAUCCGUCUCCUUUACCCCCCCUUUUCGGCGUCCCUGGUCAGGACAUCACCGGGGUGGCGAACAGGAGAUGUUUUUUAUUUACAUACCUUAAUUGUUUCCAAACCGUGUUUGUAACACGGCAGUGAAGGGCUGAUCAAACACAACAGAAGUCAUCAUGAUAGACCCACUGGCUGUGGAAAAUAUCUCCAUCCGAUAAACAUACUCAAUCAGUCUGUACAUUGAAAUAAAUCACCUUUGCAGGUCUGUCUCUGCUAUGCCUAUCAUCAGGCCGGGUACAUCUUUCUUAAACCUAUUUCUGUGGCCAAAUGUUUGGUUUUAAAUGACAUCACGUACUACUAACGUACCACUCAUCAAAUAUGCGUGGUGGUCAAGCCUGUGUCUGUUCCCAAUGGGUAAUAGGCGGCAUUUAGCCUUUCUCGAAUAAAAACGCCCUAUUCUUGCGUUGUUUUCGGCUGUACAAACUAUUUAAACCGCAAAAAGGAUAAAAGUUUCUUCGGAAUUCCUCGAGAGGUAAUAUAGAUGAACAGAAGAGUGCAAGAUUUUACAAAAUGACAACGAAAAAAGUCCAAAGGAGCAGAGUCGAAGUAUGCAGGAGUUUGCAGUGACCACUUCAUUCAAGGUUUGUUUGAUACACUUUUAACGUUUGUGUUUCCCAUUUAAGUAUUAUCUUGACAUUACUUGUUUGUAUUUUUUAAAACACAUUUUUGCUACGAGUGUUUCGCAAAGCACCAACUCGGCGAGUCUAACAUUGACAUCGGGAUCCUCCUGGUU